rnacentral:rRNA from 1 species
AUUGAACGCUGGCGGCAGGCUUAACACAUGCAAGUCGAGCGGAGCGGCGGACGGGUGAGUAAUGUCUGGGAAACUGCCUGAUGGAGGGGGAUAACUACUGGAAACGGUAGCUAAUACCGCAUACUAUUGGAGCGGCCGAUAUCGGAUUAGCUAGUUGGUGGGGUAACGGCUCACCAAGGCGACGAUCCGUAGCUGGUUUGAGAGGACGACCAGCCACACUGGGACUGAGACACGGCCCAGACUCCUACGGGAUGCAGCAGUGGGAAAUUUUGGGCAAUGGGGGAAACCCUGGUCCAGCCCUCCCGCGUGUGCGAUGAAGGCCUUCGGGUUGUAAAGCGCUUUUGGCAGGAAAGCGGUACCUGCAGAAUAAGCACCGGCUAACUACGUGCCAGCAGCCGCGGUAAUAC